AACAUCCUCUUGACAUCCUUCCCAGGCUUCACACAUGCGAGCUCUCCAGGGCUCUGUCUUCAGGCUUCAGGGUCUAUCCUACAAAAUAUUAUGCUCUUCCACCACUGCCCCUGUCUUCUCCCAUGGCCCCACCUCCAUGCCUCUGGUCUCAUUGUCUCUCCUGUGUCCCACAUCUGGACUGUCGUGGGACUUUUGCACAUCUCUUUCUGGAAGAGACUCUCUCUGCCUGGGUUUAGACUGCCAUCCUUGGUCUCACAGCAGGGGAGCAGAAUGAUCAGGUUAUUCUUUAGUGAGAGUACUCCAGCAGAAGAAAUAGGGGCCUGAAAACAGCAACCCUGAUGAGGAGGUAGCUGCCAGCAGGGCAAAGGAAAAGGACACUAACUUUGAGCGCUUGUCUCAGAUCUCAUGUCAGUCCUGCAAGAUAUUGGAAUAUUCUUCAUGUAAUGCAGUAUCACUUCUGUAUGAAGCCACGUGUAACUUGUCCCCCUCCUUUCCAUCAUGAGAACUACUGAAGAUGUAAACCAAAUCCAGCAGGGAAACCAGUGACAUUUGUGAAUAGUAGACGGGAUAAAAGUUGCUGGACACACUCUCUCUUCAACAUCUGCCAUGAUAUGAUUUCACAAGCAAGAAAUGUGCCAAGGCUUCUACCCAAGAAUAUAACCUACAUGGACACGUCAUGGGGGCUCCCCUGCCCUCAAGCUCCCAUGGGGUUCAGCCAAUGAAGAUAAGAAGAAAGAGAGAUUGAGAGAAAGUUUGCCAGCCCCUGUUCUAGAACAUGCUACGCGACACUGUACAAUGGAAAGAGAAGGGGAUCUAGGCAUCACAGAAAAUCUUCCUGGUCCCUUCCCUCGCCGAGGCAUAAUGUUUAGAGACUGCUGUUGAAUUUCUCAAGUUACAUGGAAGGGUGGGAGGUGGUCCUGGACAUUCAGGGCACCCAAAAUAGAAACCAAGACACUCUCAAUGUGGGAAAAGUCCCUAUUGUGCAGGGUGCUCUGUCCAACCCUUCAGCCUUUGCAAGAAACUCCUGCAUCCUCUGCUAGAGCCCCAGAAGCCUCUUCCCUGAGCUUCCCAGAGCAGUUCCACUGCUGCCAAACCCUGACUGUUGGACCGCCUCUUCCUCCUGCUUGAGCCACCAAAGCUCUGCUUGCCACAGGCCCUUAGGGCCAGUCUGCUCUCCUUGGCAUGAAAACAUGAACACCCUUCAGCAGUUUAAUAGGCACUAAAGGGCAUAUUUUGCUGGAAGACUGGUCUGUAGAAGUGGCUGAUGCACCCCUAAAGGCUGGGUGCUGGUGGGGGUCAGACCAGCAGCCCUCCCUACCCUGGCACCUGGAAGUCAGGCUCAGCACACUAUAGGUAGAACAACCUGCUCUUCUUCUCAGUCAUCCUAGGGCUGGCCCAGAAGCCAAACAGUGUCUAAAUGACACAUCAGAUUUUGUACUUUAUUCCCUCCGGCUCAGACAGAAGGAAAUUGGCUUUCUUUCAUAGCUAUAUACACUAUUACGGGCUGGGAUUCAGUGUGUGAAAUAAACUAUUUUUAAUUAGUUUUUUCAAUAACUGUAAGCUGUAAUCGCACCAAGUAGAAGAGAGGUAAUACUGAGGUUUCAAGGGACACAGGUGAGUGUAUGCAGUUGUUAAUUAGCCCUGGCAAACACUGGAAAGAAGAACGGGGUCUGCACCUUUGCCUACGCCCUCAAGUGGGCACCACUGAUGGAACUCCGGGAAGAUUGUCCAGACACCCACACUGCCCUAAGACUGUACUCGAGUCUCUGCAAAGAGAUGAAAAGAAAAAAGGUUGUGCUUACUGCCUUCACCAAGCUCUCAAGGUUGGCUCUUUUUUGCUGUAAACACCCUCACACGGCUAUUGAACUCUCUACCUUCCUCAUAUUUUAUGCAACUGGAUACUCUCUCCUUUGGAUUUUUAAGUAAUGUCACCUAAAGCUCUGUAACCCCAAUAUCUAUUUUUAAUUUUUAUAAUUUUAUCUUUAUGCUUAUAAACACUGGUGCAGUAAAAGCUCACAUAUCUGUAGGGGGAAAAUCUUCCAGCUCCCUCCCUGCAAACUUUGCAAAGAUGUUUCUCAGUCUAUGGCUCACUUAAUUAAUCUAACUCUUUCAAGGUCAUCCAGUGAUACUGAUGAAAUAUUCCACCGGAGGGAGAAUUAAAUCCCUGUCUAGCCUCCUUGCCCGCAGGAAGUUGACGGAAGAGGGAUUGACCUGAAGGAUCAAGGGGUAUGCAGUCCAAGUGGGAAUGUAACAUGCAUGAG